UGUUUUCAAUGGGUUUUGGGACCGCCCAUUGUCCUUAAGGGGUUAAAAUUGUGCCUGAAAUCGACGGUUUGCGUUACUACACAUCCUGCGGUGCGCACGGACAACGAUCAGCCCUGUCUUACAUUUUUAAUUGUAUUUUUCAACCAAUAAUGGCAUCGGAGAGGAGCUACCGGCUCUUCCUGACUAGACAGGAAGUGAUGUCAAUGAACCUUUUACGUGUAGAAUGUACGCAUGACCAUAAACUGAAAUGAUACUAAAGCAGAGUAACCCAUGAUAAAUCUGAAAUUUGUAAAAAAAAAAUACACAUAUGAUACACAAUUCAGGGAGAAAUUCAUGUUUACGGGGUGAAAAGAUAGACCUGCGCAUGAAUUUUUAGAUUUUUAAUAUAUAUAUAAUUUAUUAUUAAAAAAAUAACAAUAGAAAGUCAGCUGAAUGGAUCAUUUUAAUACAGCAUUUCUACCCGUUCUUUUAGAUGCUCACCCUCUGUUGUCUCCGUAACUUUGACUAUAAUGUGAUGUUUCCACCACAACUGAUUUUUUUUAUUAUUAAAAAAAAACCAAAAAAAAAAACAGAAGGUGUAUGGAAUUGGUUUCCCAUUCUGUCGUUUAGAAAUAUUUUACUUAUAGUAAUAAAGGAACUAACCUGGAAUUAA